ACAAAGCAUUUCUUUUUGGAAAAGUUUUAACCGUUUGCAAGAAGCUUGUGAGGAAACCUAUCUUGCUCCUAUUUUACAGAUAAAGAAAAAUGAGGCUCCUGGGGUUGAAAUGAGAACCCCAAGCUUUACCAGAAGAGGAGUUAGUGUUCUGGAAGAGAAGAGAAGAGUUCCCUGUAGUUCCAUCUUCCUUCCCAGAGAUAACAAAAGUGGACAUUUUGAGCUUUCAGCCAAUGGAAUAGGAGUUGCCAAAGCAAUUCAACGUUGUUAGCAAUUUGAAGAUGGCUCAAUGCUCCAGAACUUUCGCCUCAUGGAACUUAUCAUAAAGGCUGUGAAGAAGGAAGAAAAGGGAUGGAAUUGGCAAAAGAACAUCUUGGGUCUGCACAAGCUCGGAGCUGGUAGAAGAAAUCGUCAAAUAGAAUCCAAAACUCCACAGUCCUUGGAAUGUUGGAGUGUGCAGAGACAUAACACUCCUUGAAAUAAAAUACUAAAGGAGAAUCCCAAUACAGGGACAUUAAACACUAAGACUGCAGUAAUUUUAGAGUCAAUGUCCUGAAAAUGAGAAAUUCCGAUGAAAUGAUAUACUGCACAACACCGUUUCCAGCCCUCCGCACCGCUGCUGAUGCCUUGCAUACAUUUUUCUCCUUCAUUUUCAUAUACAUUAUAUUUACCAUCAAUCUUGCGGUAAGUUGCAGAGCAGGGAGAUUGGGUGACAUGGUUCUGUGAUGGGGAGAUCAAUCCAUAAAUGGUCCUUUCUUGCUCAGGGUGAAAAAACUUGAGAACACAACAUUGCUACUCAUGCUUCUCUUUUUUAACCCCAGUAGGAACUUCAGACCUGAUAACAGUAGCAAAACAGUCAGCCAAGGUUCUGAAGAGAAAAACUAAUCAAGAAGGAAGAAGAAAAAACACAGGAAGUGACUGUGUGGUCGCUCAGGACAAUUUUAGAUGAGUUUGAAUACAAAUGCAAGAAUCCCAGAAAUGUGAAAAGAAGGCCUUGGAUAAAGCACUGAAAGCCCAAUUUAUCUGUGGGAAAAAUGUUUUAUUUAUUAAUGGCUAUGUUUUAAUUUUUCAUGCUCCUUAUAGGGUUUUUGUCCUCUGCACUUGAGGGUUUAGUUCAGCUAGUUUUGGAAUAUUUCCCAUUUUGAAGUUAAGUCAAGAAGAGCAGUUGGAUCGACUGAGCUGUCUCAGCAGCUGGAAGCUUCGGAGGGCAG
rnacentral:lncRNA from 1 species